GCUUAUGGUAGACAGCCUCUUUUUUCAUCGAAGUUCUCCACUUUCUCGCUCCAAAGGCUCAUCGCAAUCAAAAUCGACCGAUCAGUGCUAGACUUCUCUCUUCACACAGAUCUGUUGCCUCUUACCCUUGCUUUCUUAAUGCAUUUAAUAAUAUAACUGACUGUUCUCAUCAAAUCUGCUUUCGGAGAAUUGAGGAUUAGAAAGUAAAGGCGCCAGAGCACUUUCUGGAAAAGCUUUCUGACAAAAAGGAGAAGGGAAGCUGCUAUUGGGUGAAGGAAAAUUUUCUGCAUGACCUUUUGACAUUUUCUGCAAUGUCGGGGUUAUUUAAUUCAUCACUCAAUGGAUCGACAUCAAAUCUUCCUGAUGGCACUGGGCGCCCAUUAACUUCAUCAUUCUCUGGUCAAUCUGGGGCUGCCUCUCCUGUUUUUCAUCAUACUGGAAAUAUUCAGGGACUGCAUAAUGUUCACGGGAGUUUUAAUGUCCCUAACAUGUCAGGCUCACUUGGAUCUCGAAAUACAAUAAUGAAUAAUGUCCCUUCUAAUGGGCUGCAACAAGCUGCAGGUAACCUUUCCAGUGGAAGAUUUGCAUCAAAUAAUCUUCCAGGUGCUCUUUCUCAGAUAUCUCAUGGCAAUACACAUGGUCAUUCAGGGAUGGUGAAUAGAGCGGGUAUGAGUGUCAUCGGAAACCAAGGGUAUAGUGGUAGCACAAAUGGUGUUGCUGGUUCCAUCCCUGGGAUUCUUGCAACAUCUUCUGCCAUUGGUAAUCGGACAGCAGUACCAGGUUUAGGCGUCUCUCCGAUUAUGGGGAAUGCUGGUCCACGGAUUACAAGCUCUGUGGGGAACAUAGUAGGCGGCGGAAACAUCGGCAGAAGCAUUAGUUCUGGUGGAGGAUUGUCCAUGCCUGGUCUAUCUUCUCGGCUAAACUUAACUGCCAACAGUAGUUCUGGAAAUAUGAAUUUGCAAGGACAAAACAGGCUUGUGGGCAGUGUGCUUCAACAAGCUUCUCCACAGGUAAUGUCUAUGUUAGGCAAUUCCUACCCUUCAGCCGGUGGUCCUCUGUCACAAAAUCAUGUACAAGCAGUGAAUAACCUUAAUAUGGGGAUGUUCAGUGAUAUGAAUGCCAAUGAUGGUGGUUCUCCUUUUGACAUCAAUGAUUUCCCUCAACUGAGCAGUCGUCCCAGUUCUGCUGGAGGUCCUCAGGGACAAUUAGGUUCAUUGCGGAAACAAGGUCUUAGCCCAAUCGUUCAGCAAAAUCAAGAAUUCAGUAUUCAAAAUGAAGAUUUUCCGGCCUUACCUGGAUUUAAAGGUGGGAAUGGUGACUAUUCUAUGGACUUGCACCAAAAGGAGCAACUUCACGACAGUUCUGUUUCCAUGAUGCAGCCUCAACACUUUUCUAUGGGAAGGUCUACUGGUUUCAAUUUGGGGGGAACAUACUCAUCUCAUCGGCCACAACAGCAACAACAACAUGCCCCAUCAGUGAGUAGCGGCAUUGCCCCUUUCUCUACUGUAAACAACCAUGAUCUACUUCAUUUGCACGGUUCAGACAUGUUUCCCUCAUCUCAUUCAACAUAUCAUGCACAGACCAGUGGGCCCCCAGGCAUGGGACUACGACCCCUGAGUUCUCCGAAUUCGGUUUCUGGUAUCGGGUCGUACGACCAGCUUAUACAGCAAUAUCAGCAGCAUCAGAACCAGUCCCAAUUUCGCCUGCAGCAAAUGUCUGCCGUUGGUCAGCCUUAUAGGGAUCAAGCAGUGAAGCCCAUGCAGGGUGGACAAAGCACUUCUGACCCUUUUGGUUUGCUUGGUUUGUUGAGUGUGAUAAGAAUGAGUGACCCUGAUCUGACUUCUCUUGCUCUUGGAAUUGACCUAACUACCCUUGGAUUGAACUUGAAUUCUUCUGAAAAUCUUCACAAAACAUUUGGUUCCCCAUGGUCUGAUGAGCCUACUAAAGGAGAUCCAGAGUUUACCGUGCCACAAUGUUAUUAUGCUAAACAACCGCCGCCUCUAAAUCAAGCUUGCUUCUUAAAGUUUCAGUUAGAAACUUUGUUUUAUAUCUUCUACAGUAUGCCAAAGGAUGAAGCCCAAUUAUAUGCUGCGAAUGAAUUGUAUAAUAGAGGUUGGUUUUACCAUAGAGAGCAUCGUUUGUGGUUUAUGAGGAAUGCUAACAUGGAGCCAAUUGUAAAGAUGAAUGCAUAUGAGAGAGGUUCCUAUAUUUGUUUUGAUCCAAAUGCAUGGGAGACAGUCCGCAAGGAUAAUUUUGUUCUCCACUAUGAUAUGGUGGAAAAGAAACCAGCCCUAUCUCAACAUUGACAAAAUAUGCUGUUUAAAUGUACAUCUACCGGUUCAACUGAUUUGUUAGGAGAGAAGGAUGUAAAUGAGAGUAUUUGAAGAAAUUGUAGGACAUGCUAUGUAGUUCUGGACCUGGGGGUUGUGUUUCAUUGUAAUACCAAACUAAUCCUGCAUUCAUGUUCUGGCCUUAGUUUCUUCAUGUCAUGGGUAAAAUUUGGGAUACUACCAAGGUUGGCCACUGUCAAAAUUGCCUUUGAUGGAUUAUACGAUUUGAACAUGUUUGAAUUUGCUGAUUUCUGUUCACAUGAAGCUGUAAAUGAAGGCCUUGUGCAGAUCUGAUAAUCACGUGAUAAAUUAAAUAGUUGAGAGAUUUUGAUUUCGUUAAACUGAAAACUUGUAUGAAAAUGUAUGUCCUGUUCAGUUGAACACACACUCUUUUAAUGUCUUUCUAGUUUUUAUAUGCUGCCCUGCCUUUUGCCAGCUUCUAGUAGAUUUUUCUGUUCGUUAACCUAUUUCUGUAAAUUAUGUCGUUUCAUGCUGUGUUACGAUGUCUCAUUAGUUUUGAUUAAAAGCAUGUUUGGGAAGUA